CCCAAGUGCUGCAAAGUUGCGCUUGGAAAUGGCUCGUAAAGUUUUAAUGCGUGAGUGCUUUCAACCUUUUGAGGCGAUGCCUUGAAAAUCGAGACGCUGUUUUGAGUCAGACCUUUUCAAGCUGGCAUGAAGGGGCUGGAUCAGAUUUCCUCGUAAAAAAAAAACAAAAAAAAUACAAGUUUUUUUUUUUUUCCUCUAUGUUUUUCCAGACAGUUCAGAAUUGAGCUCACAGACCCCUUCAGGCCUCCAGCUCCGCAGGAGGGAACAGGACAAUUCACCCAACUGGUGACUCUCCCCCAUUCCCACAGCCUGGGCUAGAAUGAUUUGGGAGGGGGGGAGGGUGGAAAUUAGGCCAGAAUCCUCCACACCCCCACUUCUGAUUAACUCCUGGGUUUUCUGAUAUCUGCCCAUAAGGAAAAGGAUCCGAUCGCUGUUUCCCAUCGAGGACUCGCAAGCCGUCCUCAAGCUUUAAAUUUCAAAAGCUCCAGUUCGUUAAACCAUCGAAACUUCUGGCCAGGUUGCAAAACCGGCCCCGUUUCCAGGCCACGCCAGCAACUCCCCGUGGAGGUUUCGCAGACCUGUCUCGGCCUCAUGCCUACAGGGAACUUUUCGCGCUGAAGGAGAUACGCUGCAGUUGGCCAUACCACCCUGGGCACAGGCAGCGGGAGGCUGGAGUGGAGCUGCUUAAAUUACUGCACCUUCACUGCACUGUCACGUCCCAGUAAAAGAGACACCCGCUGUCCUGCAGAGACAGGGACUUCUCGAGUGCCUCCCCAUAUUCCUCUUCUUCCUCCCUGUCGUCCAUCUUUAGUUUGAGACAAACAUUUCUCAAGAGAGAAGAACUGGGAGAAAUGAGAAAUGUAGGAACCCUGGAAGCAGGAAAGAUUUCUGUACUGCUGUGAUCAUUCCCCAACUCUGGAAGGCAACUGCCUGCCCUACACUGGAAUAAAUCCAGACCAG
rnacentral:lncRNA from 1 species